CAGCAGCCACGGGAAUACGUAGGGUGCAAGCGUUAAUCGGAAUUACUGGGCGUAAAGCGUGCGCAGGCGGUUAUAUAAGACAGAUGUGAAAUCCCCGGGCUCAACCUGGGAACUGCAUUUGUGACUGUAUAGCUAGAGUACGGCAGAGGGGGAUGGAAUUCCGCGUGUAGCAGUGAAAUGCGUAGAUAUGCGGAGGAACACCGAUGGCGAAGGCAAUCCACUGGGCCUGUACUGACGCUCAUGCACGAAAGCGUGGGGAGCAAACAGGAUUAGAUACCCGCGUAGUCCCUGUCUCUUAUAC
rnacentral:rRNA from 1 species